GGGGAUUUAGCUAAGUGGUAGAGUGCUUGCUUAGCAAGUACAAGGCACUGAGUUCGAUCCUCAGCCCCA
rnacentral:tRNA from 1 species